rnacentral:misc_RNA from 1 species
GAUGAAGAACGUAGCGAAAUGUGAUAAGUAAUGUGAAUUGCAGAAUUCAGUGAAUCAUCGAAUCUUUGAACGCACCUUGCACCCUUUGGCAUUCCGAAGGGUAUGCUCGUUUGAGUGUCAUUGUACUCUCACACUUCCGAUCUUUGGAUUGGGAGCGGUGGACUUGGGUGUUGCUGCUUACUGUGGCUCACCUCAAAUCGAUUCGUGCACCUCUUGGUUGGACAUAGUACGGCGUGAUAAGUGUCUUCGCCGGCACCUCAGUAGAGGGUGGCUGAUCGGGAGCUCUGUGCUUCAAACCGUCCUCGGACAACAACUGACAACUUGACCUCAAAUCGAGCAGGACUACCCGCUGAACUUAAGCAUAUCAAUAAGCGGAGGA